rnacentral:rRNA from 1 species
AGACCCGAAACCCGGUGAUCUAGCCAUGGGCAGGUUGAAGGUUGGGUAACACUAACUGGAGGACCGAACCGACUAAUGUUGAAAAAUUAGCGGAUGACCUGUGGCUGGGGGUGAAAGGCCAAUCAAACCGGGAGAUAGCUGGUUCUCCCCGAAAGCUAUUUAGGUAGCGCCUCGUGAAUUCAUCUCCGGGGGUAGAGCACUGUUUCGGCUAGGGGGCCAUCCCGGCUUACCAACCCGAUGCAAACUGCGAAUACCGGAGAAUGUUAUCACGGGAGACACACGGCGGGUGCUAACGUCCGUCGUGAAGAGGGAAACAACCCAGACCGCCAGCUAAGGUCCCA